CUGCUUUUAUUUUUUAUACCAUAAAUUUUACUCUUCACUAGUAAAAUUAAUUGAUUGAGAACGUGGAACUUUGGGAUUAGGCGUCUGUAACAAUAACCAUUUUACCCAGCCAAUGUAAUAUGCCAAUUGUUAUUUGUCUUUUACUAUAAUUUGUUUCUAUCUUGCCUCAAUCGAAUGUAGAUAAUAUGCCAAUUGAUAAAUCAUGGAUGCGAUCAGGGAGGUCAACACAUGAAUAUUUUACUGGAGUUGCCAAUUUUAUUGAUUACACAUAUAAGCAGCUGAAGUAUGAUGACAUGAAAAUUUAUUGUCCUUGCAUUAAAUGUAGUAAUAGGGAUAGACGGGUUCGUGAUGAAGUACACCAACAUCUUCUGUUUAAGGGUAUUAGGCAUGAUUAUACUCGAUGGUAUUUGCAUGGGGAGGAUGAGGAUAAUGAUAGUGCUGAAAGUGAAAUUUGGAGUCAAUUGAUGACAUGCAUGGUUUAAUAGAAGCAAGAGCCAAAUGGAGAUGUAGGAAAGUUUUACAAAUUGUUAGAAGAGGCGGAAGAGCCAUUUUACACAGGUUGUGAGACAUACUCCAGCUUGUCCUUUGUUGUUACCUUGAUGCAUAUCAAGUGCAGCAAUAAUUGGAGCAACAAAUCUUUUAACAUGUUGCUGGAAGUGUUGAAAAAAGCAUUUCCUUUUUGUAAAAGGUUGCCUACAACCAAGUAUGGUGCAAAGAAGAUUGUUAAAGAUCUCGGCCUUCAUUAUGAGAAGAUUGACGCAUGUAAGAAAGAUUGUGUAAUCUAUUAUAAGGAGCAUGAAAAUUUAUCUCAAUGUCCUACAUGUAAGAUUUCACGAUGGAAGUCACAAGGCCGGGGUGGGAAAGUGAAAGGUAAAAAGGUUCCUUGGAAGGUGUUGCGUUAUUUUCCACUAACACCAAGGCUUCAAAGAUUAUUCAUGUCUUCUAAGACUGCUGCAGAUAUGAGAUGGCAUUAUGAGGAACGUGUGAAAGAUUGUGUGUUAAGGCACCCAGCAAAUUCUGAAGCUUGGAAAUCUUUUGAUAGAAUACAUGAGUCUUUUGGUAAUGAGUCGCGCAAUGUACGACAUGGUUUGGCAACUGAUGGAUUCAACCCCUUUGGCAAUAUGAGUAUGAAGUAUAGCUUAUGGCCAAUCCUUCUAUUCCCAUACAACCUUCCUCCAUGGAUGUUGAUGAAAGAGCCUUACUUAUACCAGGAAAAGAGGACCCUGGUCAAGAUAUUGAUGUAUACAUGAGGCCAUUGAUAGAUGAGUUGCAAGACUUAUGGGAAAUUGGCAUUGAAACAUAUGAUAUAUCUACAAAGCAGAAUUUUCAAAUGCGAGCUGCAAUCAUGUGGACUAUCAACGACUAUCCUGCAUAUGCUUAUAUAUCAGGUUGGAGUACACAAGGAAAAUUGGCUUGCCCAUGUUGUAGGUCCAAUACCUCACAUCUUAGUUUACUUCAUGGCUCCAAGCAAUGUGUAUGGGUCAUCGACGUUUCUUACAAUUAGAUCACCCAUGGCGUAAUUAGAUGAUGCAGUGAUAAUACAAGAGAGAAGAGGGUUGCUCCAACUAGACCAUUUAGGCAUUGAUAUGAUAAAUGAACUUAGUGAAUUGAGAGAAAUAACCCAUGGUAAGAAUGGAACAAAGCAAACAAGAGUUGGGUUUGGAAAGACUCACAAUUGGAAGAAACAUAGUAUCUUUUUCAACUUGCCUUAUUGGAAAACUCAUUUGUUGCGCCAUAAUUUGGAUGUUAUGCACAUUGAGAAGAACAUAUUUGAAAAUGUCAUUGGCACAGUGAUGAACAUUGACGGUAAGACAAAAGAUUCGUUAAAUGCUCGCCUUGGUCUCCAAGAAAUGGGUAUAAGAUCAAAAUUUCAUCCUAUAGAAGAGGUUGGGAAGAUUAUUUGGGCUAAAGUUGAUUAUGAACUAUCAAAUGAUGAUAAGAAAGCUGUAUUUCAAUGGUUGAUGAACUUAAAAGUUCCAGAUGGAUACUCGGCAAAUAUAUCUUGGGGUGUCAAUGCGACAAAAUACAGUAUUUCAGUAAUGAAAACUCUUGACUGUCAUGUGUUUUUAGAGAGAUUAAUCCCACUUGUGGUGCAAGAGUUAUUACCUAGAGAUGAAUGUGAUGCUUUAAUAGAGUUUAGUUACUUUUAUAGAGAAUUAUGUGCCAAAGUAUUGAGAAUAGAAGAUUUAGAAUUUCUUGAAAAUCAUAUUGUCAUAACUCUUUGCAAGUUGGAGAAAAUAUUCCCUCCUGCCUUUUUCGAUAUCAUGGGAAGCAAAUUAUGAAUAUUGUAUCUUGUCACUUAGCAUGGGAAGCAAAAGUCGCUGGCCCAGUACAGUUCAGGUGGAUGUAUCUUGUAGAGAGGUAUUUGCACAAGCUAAAGAGUUAUGUUCAUAAUAAGGCUCACCCAGAAGGGUCUAUUGCGGAAGGUUACUUGGCAGAUGAAUGCCAUCUGGUAAAGCUUUUGGGAAAAGUGAAUUAAGGGAGAUGAGUAUUGAGCUUCACAGUGCUGCCACAUAUUAUGUCUUAACAAAUAAUGAUGAUUCUGAGCCUUUUAUUCAAGAACAUAAAAAUUCUCUAGUCCACUCUGGAGUCCAGGAUGUGGAUGGGACACAUAGGCAUCAAUUUGCCAAUUGGUUUAAAAAGAGAGUAAGAAAAUAUUUUUUUGUUUGCAAUUUCGCUUAAGUGUUGGGAUCAUAUAAGGGUCAUUGAAAAUAUAUAUUUUUCUUAAGUUGUAGAUUGAACAACUAUACGAGGACGGGAAAGUGAGUAAGGAAAUGCUUGCUUUGGCCCAUGGUCCUGAAAGGAGAGCCACUUACUAUUCUGGUUACAAUAUAAGCAAGUUUAGGUUCCAUACCUUGCAUCGUGAUGAGAAUAAAAAAACACAAAAUAGCGGUGUCAUGGUUAAAGGGGAGAAUCAAAUUGAUGAUGUUCCUUGGUAUAUAACAUUAACAGAAAUAGUAGAGCUUUGUUAUACACAGAAGAAAUUGGUAUGGAACAUUAACAGAAAUAGUAGAGCUUUGUUAUACACAAAAGAAAAGGGUUGUAUUGUUCAAUUGCAAUUGGCAUGAUACAACCCAAAGAGGAAGGGGUUAUAAGAUUGAUCGCUAUGGGAUUACAAGUGUUAACACAACACGCAACUUACAUACUAAGGAUCCAUUUGUGUUGGCAAGCCAAGCAACACAAGUAUUUUACGUCAAAGAAAUAAAGAAUAAGACAUGGAGUGUGGUGGUGUAAACGAAGGUUAGAAAUGUUUAUGAAAUGCCUAAUGACGAAGGAGAAACAUACCAAGAAGAAGAGGCUCAAAGGUGCAUACACGCGACUACCAACCAAAAUGAAGACGAAAGUAAUGAUAUUAUUAACAGUGGGGAUGAGGGUGGGGAUAGGGACGAGGAUGAGACUAAUCAUAUGGAUUUGGUAUGAGAUAUAGUGUGAUUCUGUUUAUUGCAUUAUUUGGUGUCGUAAAUUUUAUAUUUAUAAAUGAGUAGUAUUUUUAUUUAUGUUUGGAAUACAAAACUCUUUGGUUAUUUCAGUUGUUAUUAUAUUUGGUGGAGUAUUUUUUUAUUACUAUUUUGAUUGUUUUAUGUCUAAUUCUAUUAUAAUAGUAUUUCUUUUCUAGUAUUGUCUAUUUUGCUAAUGAACACAAAUGGUAGCUAUGGCAAGAAAAGGAAGGAGUCGCAAUACAUCAUCAACCAAUGAACAGAGAGAGUUACUUAGAUCCUCUGUAGUCUAACAUGCCUCUGUUGAACCAUCUCAUGAUAAUGAAGUACAAGAAAUUCAAGAGACAUGCUCUGAGGCUCAACCUUCAAAUACCCAAGGAUGAAGUGCUGGAAAAAAAAAAAAAAGGCAGAUGGAAGGCCAAGGGAGGAAAAGGAAAGGGUAUGCUGAUUGAAAUAUAUAAGGGAUGCAUUGUGACCAAAGAAGCUGCUCGGAAUAUAGGUGUACUUUUCAAGCAAGAGAUUAAAGGAGCUUGGGUAAAAUUUUCAGAUUAUCUGGAGACUCAAGUAAAUCUAUUAAUUGAGCUUUUCAUCGAAGCUGGAUAUACUUACACAUGUUCUGAGGAAGAAUUGAAGGUUGCAUUCACUGGACAUAUUAAAAAAAAAAUUGCUGAUUGAAUGUGGAACUUGAGAAGGCCAAUUUUUCAAAAAUACAAAAACACUGGUCAGAGGUAUGCAAACCCCCCAGAGAAUGUACCUGAUCCUGCAAUAUGGAUUGCAAUGGUUGAUGAAUGGUUAAAGCCUAAGUAGCAGGAUCAAAGUAAAAGAAACAAAUCUAAUCGAGAAAAAUCAACAAUAGUGCAUACCACAGGUUCAGUUCCAAUGGCGAAAUACCAAAAAGAUGAGGAAAAAAUGGAAAACAAAAAGGCUGCUGUUGAACAGGAAAACCUUGAUGUCAAUGAUUGGGAGAUAUAUAUAGGGAGGUGAUUGCCUCUAGUCAUGGUCGUGUUCUUGGCUUAGGCAGUGGCGUCAAAGCUAAAGGUGCAUACUACUCCUCAACUAACCAAAACUGUAAUAAGCUUAGGUGCGUGGAAUUGGAAGAAAAUCUUGGGCAUUUGAAAGAGGAAUUGAAUGAUGUCAAAGGUCAAUUGAGCACUUUGCAACAACAAGUUCAGAUGCUGAUUAACAAUAACCCACAAAAUUCUGCUCACAGUGCAAGGCAAUCACCUACUGCGAACAAUGUUGGAAAGCUAUUCCGAUAUCUUAGUGACGAUGUCAUGGAGGAGCCCAACUAGUUCUUUUAUCAUCUCCCAAAGACAUUUUAUUUAGUAAUGUCAGUCUUGGAAAUUAUAUUCAAAUUUUAGAAGUUGGAGACAUAUAUGAGUUGAUAUGAAAUGAAUAUUGUUCAGUUUUUUUAUAUUAAUGA